CUUUCCACCAAGGCUUGUGGUCCUAGUUGGUCCAAAGAGGUCCAUGUGAAGUAGCUCGAGAGGUCUAGUAGUAGAAACAUAGUUUAUAGACUUAAAAGAACUUCUAGAUUGUUUGCCAAAUUGACAUGCUCUACAAAUUUUAUUUUUCUCAAAUUUUAGCUUUGGCAAACCAAUCACAGAAUCUCUUUUAAUUAAUUUAGACAGCGUAUCCAGCUUGCGUGACCUAAUUUACGAUGCCUUAACCAACUUGCCUCAUUAAGCUUAGUAUCAUUAACUAUUAAGCAGCGGCUGUUUUUAGCAAGAUCAUCAAGAUCUACUACAUAAACAUUGCCACAUCUUAGUCCUUUGAAAACUAAGCUAUUGUCAUUUGAAUUGGUUAUGAUGCAUAAAGAUGACUUAAACAAAACAUCAAAACCUCUAUCACAUAAUUGACUAACACUAAGUAAAUUAUGCUUGAGACCAUCUACAAAUCGAACAUUAUCAAUAAGGGUUGAAGGUGUGAUUUGUAUUUUACCGAUACCAAUGAUGUGACCUUAGUUAUUGUCUCCAAAAGUCACUGCACCUCCUUUCUUAGGUUCUAGGGUGCAGAAUUGCUCCUUGUCACCCGUCAUGUAUCUUGAGCAGCCACUAUCCAAGUACCAACAGUGUUUAUUGAGCUUGGCUGCAAGACACUCCUACACAAGAAAAUCAUACAGUCUUAGGUACCCAAGUUUUCUUGGAUCCUUCAAGGUUAACUAUGUUAGUUCCUUUUGGAACCCAAAUCUUUUUAAUCUUUCUUUUAGCUUCUGUUACAUCUUUAGAACCCAAGGUUAGCUUCUGUUCCUUUUGGAACCUAAGAAAAUCAUACAUUAGCUUUAUGUCCUAUUCUAUC
rnacentral:lncRNA from 1 species